rnacentral:rRNA from 1 species
UGGGGAAUUUUGGACAAUGGGCGAAAGCCUGAUCCAGCAAUGCCGCGUGUGUGAAGAAGGCCUUCGGGUUGUAAAGCACUUUUGUCCGGAAAGAAAUCCUUGGCUCUAAUACAGUCGGGGGAUGACGGUACCGGAAGAAUAAGCACCGGCUAACUACGUGCCAGCAGCCGCGGUAAUACGUAGGGUGCAAGCGUUAAUCGGAAUUACUGGGCGUAAAGCGUGCGCAGGCGGUUUGCUAAGACCGAUGUGAAAUCCCCGGGCUCAACCUGGGAACUGCAUUGGUGACUGGCAGGCUAGAGUAUGGCAGAGGGGGGUAGAACUCCACGUGUAGCAGUGAAAUGCGUAGAGAUGUGGAGGAAUACCGAUGGCGAAGGCAGCCCCCUGGGCCAAUACUGACGCUCAUGCACGAAAGCGUGGGGAGCAAACAGGAUUAGAUACCCUGGUAGUCCACGCCCCAAACGAUGUCAACUAGUUGUUGGGGAUUCAUUUUCCUUAGUAACGUAGCUAACGCGUGAAGUUGACCGCCUGGGGAGUACGGUCGCAAGAUUAAAACUAAAAUGAAUUGACGGGGUCAUAGCUGUUUCCU